UACGUAGGUGGCAAGCGUUGUUCGGAAUUAUUGGGCGUAAAGGGCUCGUAGGCGGUUUGUCGCGUCGGGAGUGAAAACUCAGGGCUUAACCCUGAGCCUGCUUCCGAUACGGGCAGACUAGAGGUAUGCAGGGGAGAAUGGAAUUCCUGGUGUAGCGGUGAAAUGCGCAGAUAUCAGGAGGAACACCGGUGGCGAAGGCGGUUCUCUGGGCAUUACCUGACGCUGAGGAGCGAAAGUGUGGGGAGCGAACAGG
rnacentral:rRNA from 1 species